GGCUCCGGUGUCCCAGGCAUGUCACGGGACCGCCCAGGUGUGGGCGGUGGCAUCCCGUGUCUGUUUUCCGGGAGGGACCCGGCUUUC
rnacentral:pre_miRNA from 13 species